rnacentral:rRNA from 1 species
CCUACGGGUGGCUGCAGUCGGGAAUCUUGGGCAAUGGGCGCAAGCCUGACCCAGCGACGCCGCGUGAGGGAUGAAGGCCUUCGGGUCGUAAACCUCUGUCGGGAGGGAAGAAUGGCGGCAGGGCGAAUAGUCCUGUCGUUUGACGGUACCUCCAAAGGAAGCGCCGGCUAACUCCGUGCCAGCAUCCGCGGUAAUGCAGAGGGCGCAAGCGUUGUGCGGGUUCACUGGGCGUAAAGCGCGUGGUGGCGGCCCGAGGCUCAACCUCGGAACGGCAUUCGAAACUGCUCGGCUCGAGUCCCGGAGAGGAUGGCGGAAUUCCCGGUGUAGGGGUGAAAUCCGUAGAUAUCGGGAGGAACACCAGUGGCGAAGGCGGCCAUCUGGACGGUGACUGACGCUGAGACGCGAAAGCGUGGGGAGCAAACAGGAUUAGAUACCCCAGUAGUC